GGUGUCUAGAGACUCUCCAGAGGUAGGGUUUCAGGUGUCUAGAGACUCUCCAGAGGUAGGGUUUCAGGUGUCUAGAGACUCUCCAGAGGUAGGGUUUCAGGUGUCUAGAGACUCCAGAGGUAGGGUUUCAGGUGUCUAGAGACUCCAGAGGUAGGGUUUCAGGUGUCUAGAGACUCCAGAGGUAGGGUUUCAGGUGUCUAGAGACUCUCCAGAGGUAGGGUUUCAGGUGUUUAGAGACUCCAGAGGUAGGGUUUCAGGUGUCUAGAGACUCUCCAGAGGUAGGGUUUCAGGUGUCUAGAGACUCUCCAGAGGUAGGGUUUCAGGUGUCUAGAGACUCUCCAGAGGUAGGGUUUCAGGUGUCUAGAGACUCUCCAGAGGUAGGGUUUCAGGUGUUUAGAGACUCUCCAGAGGUAGGGUUUCAGGUGUCUAGAGACUCUCCAGAGGUAGGGUUUCAGGUGUAUAGAGACUCUCCAGAGGUAGGGUUUCAGGUGUCUAGAGACUCUCCAGAGGUAGGGUUUCAGGUGUCUAGAGACUCUCCAGAGGUAGGGUUUCAGGUGUCUAGAGACUCUCCAGAGGUAGGGUUUCAGGUGUCUAGAGACUCUCCAGAGGUAGGGUUUCAGGUGUCUAGAGACUCCAGAGGUAGGGUUUCAG
rnacentral:lncRNA from 1 species